rnacentral:rRNA from 1 species
UGGGGAAUAUUGCGCAAUGGGCGAAAGCCUGACGCAGCGACGCCGCGUGAGGGAUGAAGGCCUUCGGGUUGUAAACCUCUUUCAGCAGGGACGAAGCGAAAGUGACGGUACCUGCAGAAGAAGCACCGGCCAACUACGUGCCAGCAGCCGCGGUAAUACGUAGGGUGCAAGCGUUGUCCGGAAUUAUUGGGCGUAAAGAGCUCGUAGGCGGUCUGUCACGUCGGCUGUGAAAACCCGGGGCUCAACCCCGGGCCUGCAGUCGAUACGGGCAGACUAGAGUGUGGUAGGGGAGACUGGAAUUCCUGGUGUAGCGGUGAAAUGCGCAGAUAUCAGGAGGAACACCGGUGGCGAAGGCGGGUCUCUGGGCCAUAACUGACGCUGAGGAGCGAAAGCGUGGGGAGCGAACA